rnacentral:sRNA from 1 species
GUAAAACGUGAAGGAUAACGUUGCGUCAGCAACGGCCCGAAGGGCGAGACGAAGUCGAGUCAUCCUGCACGACCCACCA